rnacentral:rRNA from 1 species
UGGGGAAUAUUGCACAAUGGGCGCAAGCCUGAUGCAGCCAUGCCGCGUGUAUGAAGAAGGCCUUCGGGUUGUAAAGUACUUUCAGCGGGGAGGAAGGCGUUAAGGUUAAUAACCUUUGCUCAUUGACGUUACCCGCAGAAGAAGCACCGGCUAACUCCGUGCCAGCAGCCGCGGUAAUACGGAGGGUGCAAGCGUUAAUCGGAAUUACUGGGCGUAAAGCGCACGCAGGCGGUUUGUUAAGUCAGAUGUGAAAUCCCCGGGCUCAACCUGGGAACUGCAUCUGAUACUGGCAAGCUUGAGUCUCGUAGAGGGGGGUAGAAUUCCAGGUGUAGCGGUGAAAUGCGUAGAGAUCUGGAGGAAUACCGGUGGCGAAGGCGGCCCCCUGGACGAAGACUGACGCUCAGGUGCGAAAGCGUGGGGAGCAAACAGG